UGGGAAACGAUGACUAUGCCUCUCUGCUG
rnacentral:piRNA from 1 species